rnacentral:rRNA from 1 species
AUACGGAGGGUGCAAGCGUUACUCGGAAUCACUGGGCGUAAAGCGCGCGCAGGCGGUCUUUUAAGUUGGAUGUGAAAGCCUACGGCUCAACCGUAGAACUGCAUCCAAAACUAUUAGACUAGAGUGUGGGAGAGGAAGAUGGAAUUAGUUGUGUAGGGGUAAAAUCCGUAGAGAUAACUAGGAAUACCAAAAGCGUAGGCAAUCUUCUGGAACACUACUGACGCUGAGGCGCGAAAGCGUGGGGAGCAAACAGGAUUAGAAACCCUAGUAGUCC